GCCGGAUGUGAUACAGCCUGGACGGGAGAUAGAGAUUGCAUGGCCCCACUGCUCUAAUAUUCACUUUGCUUUUGUUUAAGUUUUCUAGUUUGUUAUUAUCUCUGCUUGUGUAAUACACCUUCACUAAAGGUUUAUAUCUGAGUCAGGCUCCCCCUUUUAGUAUUGGUGCUAUAAUCAGGAUCUUUAGGGCUGCUGUCAAGUAAAACGACUCCCUGCAAUUAAAAAACAUUUCCCUCACUUUUGUCAAUGAUCAACUCCAUCCAUGCCUUUACUUUGGCAAACUCAACUUACUCAAAUACUGUUGUCAGUCAUUCAAAUAGGCCUGUUGGUGAAUCGGUCAGUCAAAUAGGCCUACUCAUGUGUUACUUUAAGUUGAUGUUCCCAAGUCCCCUUCUCUCCCCACGAAUAGAGCUCAACUUCUCACACCCCUUCCCCCUAAUUUACCCCAUGUGUGCGCUCAUCUCAUCUUUUUAAAUCUGGGCCUUCCUCAGUGAUAUUAAUGUAUGCAGAGCCAAAUGCUUCAGUCUGAUAGGGAGAACCCAUUAGGUAUGGAGCUCUCUGUCUCAUAGGGAGAACCCAGUAGGUAUGGAGCUCUCUGUCUCAUAGGGAGAACCCAGUAGGUAUGGAGCUCUCUGUCUAAUAUGGUGAAACCAUUAGGUAUGGAGCUCUCUGUCUAAUAUGGUGAAACCAUUAGGUAUGGAGCUCUCUGUCUCUCGCUCCGUUUGUUCUCUGUUUCAAAAACAUGGGGAAAAAACAGUUGCUAGAAGCAUUACGAAGUCUAUAGCAUCAACUACAGUACUGGUCUGGUCUCCUCUUUAUCCCCCCAGCUGCACUUCUUCAAGGCCCAAUGCAGCCAGUAUCAAAACA
ensembl:lncRNA